rnacentral:rRNA from 1 species
CAAUAGCGUAUAUUUAAGUUGUUGCAGUUAAAAAGCUCGUAGUUGGAUUUCGGGUGGGACGCAGCGGUCUCGCAUUGCGUUUGUACUGCUGCAGCCCUCCUUCUUGCCGGGGGCGGCCUCUCGGACUUCACUGUCUGGGGGUCAGAAUCGGCGAUGUUACUUUGAGUAAAUUAGAGUGUUCAAAGCAAGCUUACGCUCUGAAUAUAAUAGCAUGGGAUAACACAACAGGACUCUGGCCUAUCGUGUUGGUCUAUAGGACCAGAGUAAUGAUUAAGAGGGACAGUCGGGGGCAUUCGUAUUCCGUUGUCAGAGGUGAAAUUCUUGGAUUUACGGAAGACGAACAUCUGCGAAAGCAUUUGCCAAGGAUGUUUUCAUUG